rnacentral:lncRNA from 1 species
AUUUCAAUCUCUCACCCAAGCCCUACUGAAACCCUAGCCGCCCCCAAAUUCAUCGCCGCCUCCGCCGCUAACCACCACCGAAAAUCGACUCAUGGCGGUUCCAAUGUUCCAAAUGGCCCCAAAUCAACACCCAGAACCCCCGUCAUCUCCUCUUUCCAAAUCUCUAACCGAUUUCUUUCAAAUCAUCACCAAACAUCUCGAAUUUCAAAUCCGAGUUUCAAUCCCAAAAACCCUAACAUCUCCAAAUCAACCCAAAACUUCACCAUGCAAUCUCCUCCCCCUCUUUUUACUUAAUAUCCCCUUGGUUCCCCUCGAAUCACCACCAAUCCUGUCGAAUCUUAAAUCUAAGAUUCUGCAAAAACCCUAGUUUUCCCUUUGUUCUUUUACUCGGUCAGUGUUUGGAACAUGUGAAUCUAAAACGCCCAUUAGCCGACUGUUCUUAACAAAGAACAGUCGAUUAAUGGAUGAAACAAGUUCAUAUCCUCCCCUUUGAAGUUUGGACAAGUUCUUAACUGCUCAAGUUUUGAAUAAGCUUAGGUAAAUUUCUUUCUUUCUUUUUGUUUGUUUUACCUUUUGUUCUUCUUUUGCAUGUUUAAUUGUUUUAUUCUGGCCACAUGAUUUAGUUUGGCGAUUUUAGGUUUUCUUUCAUUUUAUUCACAGGUCUUUAGUUUCAUUUGGUUGUUUUUGUUUAUUAGAUUAAUUAGAACAUGAUGAAAUCUCUGUAUUUGAAGUUUAUUUUUAAUGGCAUAGAUUUAGUUUAAUUAGGAUUCACUUUUAGGUUUGACACAUGAAAUGAUUCUGUUGUUCCUUUCGUGUUUUUGUCCUAUGUUCCUUGCUUGUUUUAGGCUAAUUUUCUAGUUCAUCUUUGCUUUUCCAUUCUAAUUUUGGAUUAAAUACAGUGUAGGUUCAUUAAGUUAAUUAUUAAGUCUCAUGUGUAUUGCCAUGUUUGUUUCUUUAUUUGCCCUAUGUGUUUGUCUAAGUUCAAUUCUUGUUUAGGUUUAAUUAGGCAAACACUUCUAUUUAUUGAUUGAUUUAGUUUUUAGGUUUAGAUUGCAGCCUCAUGAUUCUAUUAGGCAUUUUAAUUUGAAUUUUUGAUCCUUUCUGGUUUUGUAUUGUUUGCCUUAGUUUGCAAAAUAGUAGGAACUUGUAGGGGCUUAUUUGAAUUAAAAGAAACUUAGGAUAAGUUUCAGAAAAUAUCUAAGAAAAAAAACUUUCUAGAAAGUGUACAGCUGUCCUAGCUGUUAUAAAAGAUGCUGAAAUAUAGGAUAAAAAGGGACAGCUAUACCAGGACUAUAGAAAAGGACAGUACUAUUUUUAGCUAUAGGAUAAGGAAUAUUCCAAAAGAGUACCUAUCCUAGGCAGCUUAUAUAUAGAUAUUAUGCCUCAAAAACAUAUCAGAUUUUGAAACCCUAAGAAAUACAUUCUAAAAAGUUCAGCUAUCGUAUUUUCCUCUAAUUUUAGCAAAAAUUGAAGAACUUCUUUGAAGAUUUCUGGUUUUCAUCAGUCAAAAUGGUUUGAAGCUGAAAAAUUCUUCUUUUAGGAUCUAUUUGGUUGUUGUUCAUUACUGUGUUUUCCUUUAAAAGAGCUUGGUUGAACUCCAGAUUUGAUUUUGAUCUCUUAUUCUGAUCUUUCUGCUGUUCUUCUUUUCUUUUCUGCACUUAGGUAUGUUUCUCUUAUCCUCUGUAAUCAUUUGUCUGGAAUAGCUGAAUGUAAAGCUUUUGGUUGUUAAAUGCCUCUGCUCAUUUCCAGUUUGUUUGUUCUUUAUGCCCAUGAUUCCUUCAAAUGUGUUAAUGUAUUACUUCACUAGCAUGUUUGAGCAUAUUACUUAGCCAAGUUCUUACAUGAAUGAAUGCUAGAAAAGUUUGAACAUGAAUAACCUAGCUGAUACUUGAAUGCCUUGUAGUUUAGUUUGCAAAAAUAGCCUUGUUUAUGUCUAUAGCCAAACUCUUGGUUAUUAAACGUGUUGGUUAUGCUUUUUCCAUCUUUCUUUCAUCUGUUGGCUUCCUCUUCACUCAGAACCAUUUGUUUUCUUUCUUUGCCUGUUUGGCUAUGGGCUGCUGCCUGCAGAUUUGGUCACUGUUUGGCCAAAUCAGCAGGUUCAAAGCUAGAAAGUGGGAAUCAGUCUGCAUUAACAAAAGAAGACCAAGCUCUAAUAGACAAAUCAUGUCCAAAAGAGGCAGAGGUUUCCUCAUGAUAUUAGUAUAGUAAUUUGUAAUAGUUUAACCUUUUAAUGUAAUUGGGUUAUGUAACAAAUCUUAAUGUAAUGUGUUGAUUUUGAAAGUUGCUUAUUCUACUUUGGAAAACUGAAAUAAAUCAUGUAUUAAUGUUGAUGCAUUAGGAGCUUAAUUAUGUAUUUGUCAUAUUUUACAAAGUAGUAAUAAUUCUAGAUUUGAGCCCACUCAGCAGACUCAAAGGCUGUUCAUUUGAUGAAAAAAGGGAUUGAAUUUGUAACCCAAGUGACAGACUGACCUCAGGUGAUUUGGGCCUAGUCUAUAGGCCCAAACUUUGAGUCAGUCUAGGAGCCUUUUAUUAUGGAUUAUUUUUAUGUCAAGAGAUUAAUUUUCAGUACCCGGCAUGUAUAUAUUUCUAGAAUUUUAACGUGUUAGUACAAUAGUAUAUGUAGUGGUUGAAUAGUUUCACAGUUCAAAUUCAUGUUGUUAGCAUUAAUAGCAAUGUAAUAAUUUCAAGGUUUAUAAUAUGGUUGUCAG